rnacentral:rRNA from 1 species
UGCUGGCUCCGGCCGGCGAGCGCCUGCCAAGAGACCUAAACUCUGUUGUCUAUACUGUCUGAGUACUAUAUAAUAGUUAAAACUUUCAACAACGGAUCUCUUGGUUCUGGCAUCGAUAAGAACGCAGCGAAAUGCGAUAAGUAAUGUGAAUUGCAGAAUUCAGUGAAUCAUCGAAUCUUUGAACGCACAUUGCGCCCCCUGGUAUUCCGGGGGGCAUGCCUGUCCGAGCGUCAUUACAACCCUCAAGCUCAGCUUGGUGUUGGGCCCCGCCGCCCGGCGGCCCUAAAGUCAGUGGCGGUGCCGUCCGGCUCCGAGCGUAGUAAUUCUUCUCGCUCUGGAGGUCCGGUCGCGUGCUUGCAUCAACCCCAAUUUUUUUC